CCUUUGUACACACCGCCCGUCGCUACUACCGAUUGGAUGGCUCAGUGAGGCUUUCGGACUGGCUCAGAAAGGUGGGCAACUACUUCUCAGAGCCGGAAAGUUAUCCAAACUUGGUCAUCUAGAGG
rnacentral:rRNA from 1 species